GAAAAGGGGAGCUUGUGUGACAGGCUGAGAGGGAAUUAAAAUUCCGACCCUAUAACCUGAUAUGGAUAAUGCCAUCGUAGGGAUUUUGAAAC
rnacentral:ncRNA from 1 species